rnacentral:tRNA from 1 species
GCCCCCGUAGUGUAACGGUUAAGCAUCUCGGCCUUUCAAGCCGAUGAUCCGGGUUCGAAUCCCGGCGGGGGCA